UAGCAAUAAGGCAUUCCCUGGGAAAUAUCCCACCCUCUGACUUCACCAAAAUUUCCCUGGAACCUAACCCCGCCAUUUACAUUAAUUCUUAUAGGGAAAUUUGUUUCACUUAACAUCUUUUCGCUUAAAGUAGCAUUUUUCAGGAACAUAAUUACAACGUUAAGCAAGAAGUUACUGUAUUUCCUUAUAUAAAUACUACUCUUCCCUUCUUUCCAACUCCAUGCUGAUAGAAGAGGAAUAUAGAAAUGCCAGUUUUUCAUGCUGUGAUUUUUAAUUGGAAAGAUAAGUAUAUAUUGUAUGUUCAGAUUAUCAAUUAAUUUGUCACUCUGGUUUUCUCACUAUUUCAUGUGCUGUUUUGUCUAGUAACUCUUCAAUAGUGACUUUUUUUCAUAUAAAAUAUAUUUUGCUAAACCUAUAGUGGAACCCCACCUGCCUGUAAAUAAAGCUACUGUUUUUCAUCUCUGUGCAUUUACUGACUGCAGCAGAUUUCUAUAGCCAUAUCCCCACUCAAUCAGGACAAAAGAGGAGAGGCUGUACUUACUCUCAGCUGCUGACAUCAGCAACUUUCAAAGAUUCGUUUAACAAAGGGCAAGAAUUAUAUAGUUUUGUCUGGCAGAGUUUGUCUUCUCAAGUGCACCAUAAAUGUCUGUCAUUAACAUAAUUACUUUUCUCUUUUGAGCACUGAGCGGGAUAAAGGGGCCCUGAUGAGUUAAAUUAUCAAUGAGGGACAUAUUUAUUACAAUAUGUUUCAACUAUGCAAAUUCAUCAUGAAAAUUUGUCAACCUCUACUUAUCCAUGUUUUCCUAUAAUAAUAAUAAUGACAAUUUUUAUUUACCUGUAGCAGUUUCUUGCCUGGAUGAGUAGAGUUUGGUAAGGUUGUAUAUCCAGCUACUGAAAACUAAAUAAAC